GACGAACGCUGGCGGCGUGCCUAAUACAUGCAAGUCGAACGCUUCUUUCCUCCCGAGUGCUUGCACUCAAUUGGAAAGAGGAGUGGCGGACGGGUGAGUAACACGUGGGUAACCUACCCAUCAGAGGGGGAUAACACUUGGAAACAGGUGCUAAUACCGCAUAACAGUUUAUGCCGCAUGGCAUAAGAGUGAAAGGCGCUUUCGGGUGUCGCUGAUGGAUGGACCCGCGGUGCAUUAGCUAGUUGGUGAGGUAACGGCUCACCAAGGCCACGAUGCAUAGCCGACCUGAGAGGGUGAUCGGCCACACUGGGACUGAGACACGGCCCAGACUCCUACGGGAGGCAGCAGUAGGGAAUCUUCGGCAAUGGACGAAAGUCUGACCGAGCAACGCCGCGUGAGUGAAGAAGGAUUUCGGAUCGUAAAACUCUGUUGUUAGAGAAGAACAAGGACGUUAGUAACUGAACGUCCCCUGACGGUAUCUAACCAGAAAGCCACGGCUAACUACGUG
rnacentral:rRNA from 1 species